rnacentral:lncRNA from 1 species
UGAAUUAAGGAUGAAAUUAAAAAUAAUUUUGGGAAGAAGGGGGCAAAAUUUGAGUUUGGGGGGUGUUUUUGAAAGAAUAAUUGAAAACAGAGAGUCAAAGUGCAAAUAGAGAAAGUUCGACCACGUAGGACCGCCCAGUCAGCAGCCUUGACGAAUUGGAGCGCGGCGCAUGGCAAGGCGCACUAACGUUGGUGCCACGCAAGAGGCCACACUAGCGAUUUGCGCGCGUGGAAGGCCUGGAUCCAUUUUUACCUUAACUGCGAUCGGACAGAUGAGAUCGAUCAUGAUGGACAAUCUAGAUCAAUGCAUAAUGGUUAUAAAUACUUUGCAUCACACAGAAACCUAAAGCCUAGCCAUCAGCCCCCACUAAAGAAGAAGAACCAGAUGCUGGAGAAGGAGGCCGACUAUUGACCGCUGCUGGGUCAGAGCCACAGCUGACCGCCAAAAAAGGUAAAAUUUCCCCCUAACCAUUUAGAAUUUGAUUUCCAGUACCACCGUGGCCAAAUCGGAGCAAGAAGAACGAUGGGUGAGCCAGAAACUACGAGCAAAGCCUAGGAGAGCAGCCACGGCUAUUACCCCAAAACCCCUCCGAUAAGCCCUUUCCCGAUUCCUAUUUCAUGUAAUUUUUAAAUCAUUUUUCUCACCGUCCUUUUCUGUGCAGGGUAGCCAAAGAAAGAAGCUCAACCGUAAAGGAAGACCGGCGGAGCUGAUGCACCCGAAGGUCCCCCGCCUGUAGGUUCAAUUUUCUUUGAGAUUUUCCAGCCAACUGAGGCCUCUAACAUGUUUUUCUAUAGGGAAUACAACCAAAACCAGUCAC